rnacentral:rRNA from 1 species
GACGAACGCUGGCGGCGUGCUUAACACAUGCAAGUCGAACGGAAAGGCCCUGCUUUUGUGGGGUGCUCGAGUGGCGAACGGGUGAGUAACACGUGAGUAACCUGCCCUUGACUUUGGGAUAACUUCAGGAAACUGGGGCUAAUACCGGAUAGGAGCUCCUGCUGCAUGGUGGGGGUUGGAAAGUUUCGGCGGUUGGGGAUGGACUCGCGGCUUAUCAGCUUGUUGGUGGGGUAGUGGCUUACCAAGGCGUUGACGGGUAGCCGGCCUGGGAGGGUGACCGGCCACAUUGGGACUGAGAUACGGACCAGAGUCCUACGGGAGGCAGCAGGGGGGAAUAUUGCACAAUGGGCGGAAGCCUGAUGCAGCGACGCCGCGUGCGGGAUGACGGCCUUCGGGUUGUAAACCGCUUUCGCCUGUGACGAAGCGUGAGUGACGGUAAUGGGUAAAGAAGCACCGGCUAACUACGUG